CGAACGCUCGCGGCGUGCUUAACACAUGCAAGUCGAACGGAAAGGCCCCUUCGGGGGUACUCGAGUGGCGAACGGGUGAGUAACACGUGAGUAACCUGCCCUUGACUUCGGGAUAACUUCAGGAAACUGGGGCUAAUACCGGAUAGGAAUCCUUGCUGCAUGGUGGGGGUUGGAAAGCUUCGGCGGUUUUGGAUGGACUCGCGGCUUAUCAGCUUGUUGGUGGGGUAGUGGCUUACCAAGGCUUUGACGGGUAGCCGGCCUGAGAGGGCGACCGGCCACAUUGGGACUGAGAUACGGCCCAGACUCCUACGGGAGGCAGCAGUGGGGAAUAUUGCACAAUGGGCGGAAGCCUGAUGCAGCAACGCCGCGUGCGGGAUGACGGCCUUCGGGUUGUAAACCGCUUUCAGCAGGGGCGAAGCUUGUGGUGACGGUACCUGCAGAAGAAGCACCGGCUAACUACGUG
rnacentral:rRNA from 1 species